UAGUGUUCGAGUUCUCUUAGUUGAUUUUAGGGCUCAGUUAGCUUCUUAACAGUUCCAUCAAUUUUCCAUUUUGAUUUUUCAGCAAUCAAAUAGAUUCUGUAGAAGAAAAUCUCAGUUUCAUGCAUGUACUAGAUUUUUUUUUUCUCUGUGCUUGUUCUUCUCUGGUAUUAUUAAUUCGUCUACGGAGUAAAAUUAGGGUUUCGUGCUCUUUGUUUGGUUGCUGAGAAAUUGUAAGAAACAUAAAUGAAAAUUUUGAGAUGCUUUGUCGGGGUUUGUGCCGCGAGAGCUGCAAUUAAGGAGUGUUUGUGCCAUGAGAGCUGGAGAAACAGGAAUUGGAGGAGGUUAGGUUCAUGAUCGAUGUGAAUCUGAUGAGUAUAUUUCAUAUGAUUAAGGCAAAGGAUGAAGAAUCAGAAGAACCGUGGACUGGCGUCGAUCACCAUUAUAUCAUUGCUGAUAGGUCAGGCACAUCAACAAAGACAUUCUUAAAAGGGUGUUGAAACAUGGAAGAAGGAAACCAUAAUGAAAAAGGAGGUUGUUAAGCGUUUGAGAAUAAAUGGUAAUGAUACAAAGGAAGUAUAGUACAAACCUCUUCCUGGUGGCCCAAGUAAUUAUGACACUCAAAAUGCCACCAAGAAAUCUGAAGAACUAGAGGUAAGUAUACUACGAAAAUCUAGUUUUAAUCUUAGAGUUUUCAAGAAUUGAUUUAUGUAACCAUCCCGGGUCAGUAUGACUGAAAAUGUUUAAACUAGAAGGAACUUGGGCUUUUUGUUUUCACUUGGGUUGCUUUCCUCACAUUGCAGAUUACAAAGUUUUCCCACUCUUGAUCUUAUUUUGUUAAGGAGUUAAUACUUUAAAAUCUCUACUCACAUGAAGUUAUUGAUCCUGAUUGGAAAUCUUAAGAUGUUAUUCAUUAUGGUUGUGAAUUAUUAUGACUUCUAUAGGUGGUACCUAUAUCAUUGUAGAAUUCAUAGAGCAUGAAAAUUUUGGAACUUGUAUGUUUUGCUGAUAUCAUGUCCUUUUCCUAAUCUUGAAGAUUGUACAAGAAGGAUCUCAAUCAACAAAACAACUAUAUUCUUAUCAUGAAGGACCUCCUUUUCUAGACCAGCAAAUGCAGCCAGAAUCAAUUAGUUUAUAAGGAAGAUUGAACUCACAAGCAAAAGAAAAAACUUCAAUCUACUAUCUCGGAUUCUACAACACACAAGUACCUUAAUAAACCAGGAACCACCCAUCAUUUUUGGAAGUCAUUGACCAUGCCAUCUCCCUCGGCAUCAACAAUAAUAGGGACGCAGAGAACAAUGGACAGAAAAUUGCCAAGAAGACAAUGCAACUUCUUGACUUCAUGGCACAGAAACUGUUCUAGAGGUUGGCACUUCUAGAAGUAGAGGAAAGAGGUUCACGUCAGAGUUGAAGUUUGCAAUUACUAGAGAUUUCAACCCUGAAAUGGUGAUAGGAGAAGGUGGGCGUAGUAAAGUGUACCUAAGAUGAUCAUGCUUUUGCUUUUACCCGAGUUUCCAAUAAGUUUUUCAAUUCUCACCUUUUAGAUUUUGUUUCAACAAUGGUAUAUAAUGAAGCACAAGAAGUUAUAGUUUUCCUUUUA